rnacentral:rRNA from 1 species
GACGAACGCUGGCGGCGUGCUUAACACAUGCAAGUCGAACGAUGAAGCCGGAGCUUGCUCUGGUGAAUUAGUGGCGAACGGGCGAGUAACACGUGAGUAACCUGCCCUUGACUCUGGGAUAACUGCGGGAAACUGUAGCUAAUACCGGAUACGACCCUCGGAGGCAUCUCCUGGGGUUGGAAAGAAUUUCGGUCAAGGAUGGACUCGCGGCCUCUCAGCUAGUUGGUGAGGUAAAGGCUCACCAAGGCGACGACGGGUAGCCGGCCUGAGAGGGUGACCGGCCACACUGGGACUGAGACACGGCCCAGACUCCUACGGGAGGCAGCAGUGGGGAAUAUUGCACAAUGGGCGCAAGCCUGAUGCAGCAACGCCGCGUGAGGGAUGACGGCCUUCGGGUUGUAAACCUCUUUUAGCAGGGAAGAAGCGAAAGUGACGGUACCUGCAGAAAAAGCACCGGCUAACUACGUGCCAGCCGCCGCCGUAA